rnacentral:piRNA from 1 species
UGAUAAAUUCGCUGACUGCCAAGGCUAAAG